UCUCUCUUUUUCCUCUCACCGUUUCUCUCCCCCCGCCCCUCCCUGUCUAACCCUAAUAACUCCGGCGAUGUCACCAUCAUUCCUGCCAGUCACCGCCGCCGCCGUCCCUACCCAGCUGAAAAAAGCUUGUUUCAGAUAUGACAUUGAAAAAAGAGUUUGCCCUAAUUGACUACUUCUUCCAAAUCUCUCCCCCAUUUUGUAAGCUCUCACACUUUCUUCACUUCAUUUUCCCCAUAUCUCACGCCAUUCUCUUCUUCCAAUGCUCUCCACCUUCAUUUUCCAUCUUCUGGGUAAGCCCUAACUUCUCCUUUGAUUCACUAAUUUCUUUACCAGACUUUCUUGAAUCCUUCUAAGAAGAACAGGGUUUUGCACCAUUCUCAAAUGAUUCAGUUUUUUAUUUGGAGUACCUUUUUCUUAGAAAUAAGCUAAUAGUGGAUUGCAAAUGAGAGGUGGUUUGUUAAAUUCCUGACUGCCUGCAGUUGUUUUGGAUAUUUCCACAUAUCUCAACAACUUUAGAUGGAGAUACAAAGUUGUUCUCCUCAUUAGCAAGACCUGCAGGUUCUACACUUUAUAAGUGUGUAAAUACAUCUAUGGUAGCAUGUCUCACUGAAUCUCUAGGAAUUGAUGUUCACGGGUUGCAAGUCAAUCUGAAGAAAGAUUUGAACUUGUUAUUCUCCAAAAAGUAGCUGCAUGUGGUUUGCUCCAAAUUGAUUUGGGCGUGUGAAUCGAACUUCAGGUUCUAAUAUCUUUGACAACUUGGGAAAAAAGGCUUAUGAGUUAUGACAACAAAGCUUUAUGGAGUGGUCAAAUUUCAAAAGGCAUGGUGCUUCUUUUUUCCAUUAUGUAAACAGAUUUCCUCAUUGAAAAUGAAGAAUGUACGAUUUCACAAUAUUGUAUACUUUUGUUGCUUAGUGCGCGUAAAUAUUAUGAAGUGUUAAAACCUGAAACACGUAGAAUUAUUUUCUUGGUGUUAUGAUCCUUUUAGUAUUCCUCUAAUAAUUGCACAAAUAAUACAAACAAUGAUGUCGGCCAUACGCCCGUGCAAAGCACGGGCACGGGCCAUCUAGUGUGUUGUAAUAGUAGCUUAUUGUUUUAUGUAUUUA